ACCCAGACUCCUACGGGAGGCAGCAGUGGGGAAUAUUGCACAAUGGGGGAAACCCUGAUGCAGCGACGCCGCGUGAGUGAAGAAGUAAUUCGUUAUGUAAAGCUCUAUCAGCAGGGAAGAAAAUGACGGUACCUGAGUAAGAAGCCCCGGCUAACUACGUGCCAGCAGCCGCGGUAAUACGUAGGGGGCAAGCGUUAUCCGGAUUUACUGGGUGUAAAGGGAGCGUAGACGGCCAUGCAAGCCAGGGGUGAAAGCCCGGGGCCCAACCCCGGGACUGCCCUUGGAACUGCAUGGCUGGAGUGCGGGAGGGGCAGGCGGAAUUCCUGGUGUAGCGGUGAAAUGCGUAGAUAUCAGGAGGAACACCGGGGGCGAAGGCGGCUUGCUGGACUGAAACUGACGCUGAGGCUCGAAAGCGUGGGGAGCAAACAGGAUUAGAUACCCUAGUAU
rnacentral:rRNA from 1 species